rnacentral:rRNA from 1 species
CCUACGGGGGGCUGCAGUGAGGAAUAUUGGUCAAUGGACGGAAGUCUGAACCAGCCAAGUAGCGUGCAGGAUGACGGCCCUAUGGGUUGUAAACUGCUUUUAUGUGGGAAUAAAGUGGCGCACGCGUGCGCCAUUGCAUGUACCUCAUGAAUAAGGACCGGCUAAUUCCGUGCCAGCAGCCGCGGUAAUACGGAAGGUCCGGGCGUUAUCCGGAUUUAUUGGGUUUAAAGGGAGUGUAGGCGGUCUGUUAAGCGUGUUGUGAAAUUUAGGUGCUCAACAUUUAACUUGCAGCGCGAACUGUCAGACUUGAGUACACGCAGCGCAGGCGGAAUUCAUGGUGUAGCGGUGAAAUGCUUAGAUAUCAUGAGGAACUCCGAUCGCGAAGGCAGCCUGCGGGAGUGUUACUGACGCUUAAGCUCGAAGGUGCGGGUAUCGAACAGGAUUAGAUACCCGGGUAGUC